rnacentral:rRNA from 1 species
UGAGUACGAAAUGCUACGGCAUUGAAGCAGUCUAUGUCAUACUUCCUAGAAAAGCUUGCACUGUCAUAAACAAAUAAUGCCUGUACCAUAACCGACACAGGUGGGUAGGUAGAGUAUACUAAGGGGCGCGAGAUAACUCUCUCUAAGGAACUCGGCAAAAUGACUCCGUAACUUCGGGAGAAGGAGUGCCUUAUUUAUAAGGUUGCAAUAACAAGAUCCAAGCAACUGUUUAUCAAAAACACAGGUCUCCGCUAAGUCGUAAGACGAUGUAUGGGGGCUGACGCCUGCCCAGUGCCAGAAGGUUAAAGAAGUUGGUUAGCAUUCGCGAAGCUGAUAACUGAAGCCCUGGUGAACGGCGGCCGUAACGAUAACGGUCCUAAGGUAGCGAAAUUCCUUGUCGGGUAAGUUCCGACCCGCACGAAAGGCGUAAUGAUCUGGAUACUGUCUCGGAGAGGGGCUCGGUGAAAUAGACUUGUCUGUGAAGAUGCGGACUACCUGCACCUGGACAGAAAGACCCUAUGAAGCUUUACUGUAACUUGAAAUUGAAAUUGGACUUUAUUUGCGCAGUAUAGGUGGGAGGCAUUGAAGAUAUUCUUGCGGGAAUAUUGGAGCCAUCAGUGAGAUACCACUCUUGUAAUGUUAGAUUUCUAACUUUGUAUCAUUAUCUGGUCAAAGAACAGUUUCAGGCGGGCAGUUUGACUGGGGCGGUCGCCUCCCAAAUGGUAACGGAGGCGCACAAAGGUUUCCUCUGAACGGGUAGAAAUCGUAUCUAGAGUGUAAAGGCAUAAGGAAGCUUGACUGUGAGACCUACAAGUCGAGCAGGGACGAAAGUCGGUCUUAGUGAUCUGACGGUGCUGAGUGGAAAGGCCGUCACUCAACGGAUAAAAGUUACUCUAAGGAUAACAGGCUGAUCUCCCCCAAGAGUUCACAUCGACGGGGAGGUUUGGCACCUCGAUGUCGGCUCAUCGCAUCCUGGGGCGGUAGUACGUCCCAAGGGUUGGGCUGUUCGCCCAUGAAAGCGGUACGCGAGCUGGGUUCAGAACGUCGUGAGACAGUUCGGUCCAUAUCCGGUGUAGGCGUUAGAAUAUUGAGAGGAGCCUUCUUUAGUACGAGAGGACCGAGAAGGACAUACCUCUGGUGUACCAGUUAUUGUGCCAACGGUAAACGCUGGGUAGCUAUGUAUGGAGAGGAUAACCGCUGAAAGCAUCUAAGUGGGAAGCCCACCUCAAGAUAAGUA